ACGCUCGACACCUGGAGGCAGCAGUUGGGAAUAUUGGACAAUGGAGGAAACUCUGAUCCAGUGACGCCGCGUGAAGGAAGAAGGUCUUCGGAUUGUAAACUUAUUUUGUCAGGGAAGAAAAAUGACUGUACCUGAAGAAAAAGCACCGGCUAACUACGUGCCGGCAGCCNGGAGUAUNGNGGCGGNGNGAGAG
rnacentral:rRNA from 1 species